UACGUAGGGUGCGAGCGUUAAUCGGAAUUACUGGGCGUAAAGCGUGCGCAGGCGGUUUUGUAAGUCUGUCGUGAAAGCCCCGGGCUCAACCUUUGAAUGCCGCUGGAUACUGCUUGACUUGAGUCCGGAAGGGGCGAGUGGAAUUCCUGGUGUAGCGGUGAAAUGCGCAGAUAUCAGGAGGAACACCAAUGGCGAAGGCAGCUCGCUGGAACGGUACUGACGCUGAGGCGCGAAAGCGUGGGGAGCAAACAGG
rnacentral:rRNA from 1 species